GGAGAUUUAUUUUAUUUAAAAUAUAAAUUUUGC
rnacentral:tRNA from 1 species